rnacentral:rRNA from 1 species
UACGUAGGGUGCAAGCGUUAAUCGGAAUUACUGGGCGUAAAGCGUGCGCAGGCGGUUGUGCAAGACCGAUGUGAAAUCCCCGGGCUUAACCUGGGAAUGGCAUUUGGGACUGCAAAGCUUGAGUGUGGCAGAGGGGACUGGAAUUCCUGGUGUAGCAGUGAAAUGCGUAGAGAUCAGGAGGAAUACCGAUGGCGAAGGCAGGUCCCUGGGCUGACACUGACGCUCAUGCACGAAAGCGUGGGGAGCAAACAGG